UGUCUCCUCCAUAUCUCCCCGGAUAUGGAUUGCGCCCGCCCUGACGGCGGGCAUUUUUUU
rnacentral:ncRNA from 1 species